rnacentral:tRNA from 1 species
GGAGAGGUGUCCGAGCUGGCCGAAGGAGCACGCCUGGAAAGUGUGUAGGGGUCAAAAGCCCCUCCAGGGUUCGAAUCCCUGCCUCUCCG